rnacentral:rRNA from 1 species
AUGUGGUACCUGUUGCUGCUGGAGGGAAAACUCGUGUCUGGAUCUUACAUUGCAAAAUCAUUUAGUGCAGUUAAAGUUCAGUUUCAACUAAAAUUCAGAGUGUUGUACCUUCCUGGUCAUGGUAUUGUGCUAGGAUGUGAUUGGAUGACUAAACACAACCCAGUGUCUUUCAGUUAUGAUCCAAGAAAAUUAACUCUUCUUCAGAAUGGCACUACUCUUGUAACUAUCCCUUCUUGUGAAACACUCUCUCCAGCAACUAAAAUAGAAUCUUUAACGAGUUUUUUUCAAGGGAGAAUCUGUAACAAGUUAUUGGUUAGUGCAGCUCCAGCUUAUGUACUGCAAACUACUACAGUAUACAACUGUCUGUGGUCAUAUGACACAUACCACACUAAAAUGACUCAAUCAAAGAUCCAACUGAUACCCACGCCUGUAUUGCAAUGA